CCCCUCCAAAAUGCCCACCUACGCGGGAGGAAACCAAUCAUCCACUCUCUACACUUAGAGUUGAGGGUACCACUAGGUAAGCAUUCAUUCACCUACUCAACAAAUACCGACGACCCUUGAACGACGGCUGUAGAACUCUGCAC